AUGAUACGCUGCGAUUUACUCAGCCGAGUUCGUCUACCUAGCUACCGGGAAACCGAGAAAUUGAUGGCACUUCGAAGGGAUUCGCUGCAUCCUACCGUAUAAGUAUGCCGAAAGUGUCUGCACUUGACUUCUUGACAGUCGAUGCUUGCCUUUCGGUUCAUAGAGGACGUCCAUUUUCUAUUUUGAGCAAUAUCACAAUAAUGCGUCCAACGAUAAAUAUGUUGUACUACCACGGAUCAUUCUCCUUCAGACUUCCUUGGGAAUUCUGCCAGAGAUUUGGUAAAGCUCUUUUCACGCCCUGUUGCAGCGAUGGUGAUAUGUAUUUCGCGAUCUCUCACUGAUUUACUCGGCCAUGUCUGCUUCCUUUAUUGCAGCUGAAAGCGUUUGCUAUACGUAUACUGUUGAUCUAAGUACGUAAUAAAUAUUCUCUUU